rnacentral:rRNA from 1 species
UACGUAGGGCGCAAGCGUUGUCCGGAAUUAUUGGGCGUAAAGAGCUCGUAGGCGGUCUGUUGCGUCUGCCGUGAAAACCCGAGGCUUAACCUCGGGCCUGCGGUGGAUACGGGCGGACUAGAGGUAGGUAGGGGAGAAUGGAAUUCCCGGUGUAGCGGUGAAAUGCGCAGAUAUCGGGAGGAACACCGGUGGCGAAGGCGGUUCUCUGGGCCUUACCUGACGCUGAGGAGCGAAAGCGUGGGGAGCGAACAG